rnacentral:sRNA from 1 species
GCUCUUCCAGUUCUUCCAGAGUCUAAGUUUUUAUACCUUGUUUUCUCUCUGACCAAUACCAUUAAGUUUGUAGUCAACACCUUUUUAAUAACAAUCAUCCACCACCCAUAGAACGAUCAAAUUAUCCAUCUUGCCUUUCCAGAAAGGGGUGUCACUCUCUUAAAAUUCCUGCAGAAUUUGAGCUAUAGUCUUCUUUUGGGAAAAUGGUAAAGUCUUAAGAAAGCGAGCUAUGACACUUGUUGUUUAGUUUCAAUGUGCUGUGAAAAUAUAAGCUUAAAUGAAGUCCCGAUUGGAACAGUCUUCAAAGCUAGACUGAUUGCAGCCAGCAGCUUUCUUUGAAGUUGUCCUGGAAGCAAUUUUCAUAAAACAGCUCUUAAGGCAGUCUGAGGUAGGAUCGGGAAGGAUGGUGGAAUAAAAAUGUCUCAGUGUCUCAGCAUCUUUUUCAGUGUCAUCAAGAAUGAAUCUUGGUCAGCAGCGUUUCUUUGGUCAUUUUUCCUCUGUGAACAUAGAAGCUUUUAGAGGCAAUAUACAUUUCUGCAAUCACAUAUGUAUGGAAUGGCAAAUGCGCACAAGUCAGUUAAGAAUUAUUCUCUACUCUCUAUUCAAGCAGGAGCAAUUUGCAGUUCCCAAGAAACCAAAAUUCUCUUUAUUUCAUCAAACAUUUUUUUUUUUUGUAUUUGUAUCAGUCACCGAAACAUCAUCGAUAUACUGGUAAAUUAUGGACUGACGAAACUGCUUAAGCAUUAUUUCUAAUGGCUCUUUUACAAAAUAUGGACAUAAAGUAAGACUAUUCAACAUUCCUUAUUGCAAGACUUUCCAAUAACUCUUCAAUAUUAGACAACUUCUAUUUAAACCUUCUUCCUUGAGAAGACAAAGACAUCCAGUAUGACUAUUAAGAUGUUAAUAUUGACAUACAUUCUAUAAAGGUCAAUAGUGAAGAACUGAAGGCGUCAAACUUGAAACUACUGUUCAAGCUGGCAUGAAAUGACCUGCUCUUGGAGUCGAGAACGAUAUAAAGUGUAUAAAUGCACAGCUGCCUCCUGACACUUCCUGGGAACUUACUACUUGACACACAUGCCCCAAUUGUUCCAUUUCAUUCUUCCAACCAUACUCUGAAGUAGGCUCUUGGUGCCUUCAUUUCACAAGUGAGGAAGAUAUGGCUGUCGCAGUUGCUCCNUUAGAAUAAUGCCUGCCCAAAAUGAUGGAACUAGAUGACCGUGACUUGAAAUCUCUAAACCUGAGCCAAAAUAAACCUUGUUCUGUUCUGUUGAUUAUUUUAGUUUUUUUUUGUUUCUUUGGUGAAAAUCUAACACAAGGGGAGAGCC